GACGGGGGAUGCAAGCGUCAUCCGGAAUCACUGGGCGUAAAGCGUCUGUAGGUGGUGAUGCAAGUCACUGGUGCAAAACUCUGGCUCAACCGGAGGAAAGCCAGUGAAACUGCAUGACUAGAGUGUGGGAGAGGUAGAAGGAAUUCCCUGAGUAGCGGUGAAAUGCGUAGGUACAGGGAAGAACACCGGAGGCGAAAGCGUUCUACUGGAACACAACUGACAAUGAGAGACGAAAGCUAGGGGAGCGAAUGGG
rnacentral:rRNA from 1 species